UACGGGGGGGGCAAGCGUUGUUCGGAAUUACUGGGCGUAAAGGGCUCGUAGGCGGCCAACUAAGUCAGACGUGAAAUCCCUCGGCUUAACCGGGGAACUGCGUCUGAUACUGGAUGGCUUGAGUUCGGGAGAGGGAUGCGGAAUUCCAGGUGUAGCGGUGAAAUGCGGUAGAUAUCUGGAGGAACACCGAUGGCGAAGGCAAUCCCCUGGACCUCGUACUGACGCUCAUGCACGAAAGCGUGGGGAGCAAACAGG
rnacentral:rRNA from 1 species